CUUCCCUGUGUGUUAUUACAAGGUUGCCGCCAGCGAAGCUCCAGCCCUGGAUAAUCCUUUGUGGUUCUGGUUCUUCUUCCUGUUGGCGGUCAACACACCUGUUCCUGGACAACCUGUUGUGGUUAGGCUCCUGCUCCAAGGUGAAUACUUCGCUGAAUUUACCUCAGUCCGAGAACUGCUCCGGAUCUGCCAGAUCUAACUUCAAGAUCACUUCUCUGCCCGGCCUGUCCACCCUUCCAUUGCUUGGAGGAACACGUUCACGUGGCACGCUGCCUGUCAGUUUCAGUGGCUUGCUCACUUCCCCAGAAUCAACAACCUCGUCCACAACCUGGAAGAGUGGCAAGAAGAAACCCAUCCUUGAACAUUGUCCUCUUGAUGAACUAUUGCUGCCACCACUUCCUCCCGGUCCACCAUGGAAACACUGUUUUUGCCAAAUGGUAAGAUUUUUACUCCAGAUUUUACCAACAGUCUCUUUGGUUGUGAUUGUAAUGGAAUGUUUUUCUUUUAUUACCUCUCUGUAUAUAUUCUGCUUUAUUUUUCCUUAUCAGCAUGUUGUGAUUAUGAAUAUU